rnacentral:rRNA from 1 species
UACGUAGGGUGCGAGCGUUAAUCGGAAUUACUGGGCGUAAAGCGUGCGCAGGCGGUUUUGUAAGCCAGAUGUGAAAUCCCCGGGCUCAACCUGGGAAUGGCAUUUGGGACUGCAAGGCUGGAGUACGGCAGAGGAGACUGGAAUUCCUGGUGUAGCAGUGAAAUGCGUAGAUAUCAGGAGGAAUACCGAUGGCGAAGGCAGGUCUCUGGGCUGAUACUGACGCUCAUGCACGAAAGCGUGGGGAGCAAACAGG